rnacentral:rRNA from 1 species
UCAGUCGCCGGCUAUUGGCGCACUUAUUGGACUCACGCCGGGCAGCUCACCGGAUAGGACAGCUGGUAAUGAUAGCCGGGCUGAAGACCUUGCUUGACCAGCUGAGAGGAGGUGCAUGGCCGUCGUCAGUUCGUACUGUGAAGCAUCCUGUUUAGUCAGGCAACGAGCGAGACCCACGCCAACAGUUGCUAGCAUGUUCUCCGGAAUGAUGAGGACACUGUUGGGACCGCCUCUGCUAAAGAGGAGGAAGGAAUGGGCAACGGUAGGUCAGCAUGCCCCGAAUUAUCCGGGCUACACGCGGGCUACAAUGGUCAGGACAAUGGGAAACGGCACUGAAAAGUGUAGUCAAUCUCCUAAACCUGUCCCAAGUUCGGAUUGUGGGCUGCAACUCGCCCACAUGAAGCUGGAAUCCGUAGUAAUCGCGUUUCAAAAUAGCGCGGUGAAUAAGUCCCUGUUCCUUUGCACACACAA